rnacentral:rRNA from 1 species
GACGAACGCUGGCGGCGUGCUUAACACAUGCAAGUCGAACGGAAAGGCCCUGCUUUUGUUGGUUUCUCGAUUGCCGAACGGGUGAGUAACACUUGAGUAACCUGCCCUUUACUUUGGGUUAACUUCAGGAAACUGGGGCUAUUAUCGGAUAUGAUCUCCUGCUCCAUGUUGGGGGUUGGAAAGUUUCGGCGGUUGUGGAUGGACUCGCGGCUUAUCAGCUUGUUGGGGGGGUAGUGGCUUACCAAGCUUUUGACGGGUAGCCGGCCUGAGAGGGUGACCGGCCACAUUGGGACUGAGAGACGGCGCAGACUCCUACGGGAGGCAGAAGUGGGGAAUAUUGCACAAUGGGCGGAAGCCUGAUGCAGCAACGCCGCGUGCGGGAUGACGGCCUUCGGGUUGUAAACCGAUGUCGCCUGUGACGAAGAGUGAGUGACGGUAAUGGGUAAAGAAGCAACGGCUAACUACGUG